GCUUGCUUCUCUUGAGAGCGGCGGACGGGUGAGUAAUGCCUAGGAAUCUGCCUGGUAGUGGGGGAUAACGUUCGGAAACGGACGCUAAUACCGCAUACGUCCUACGGGAGAAAGCAGGGGACCUUCGGGCCUUGCGCUAUCAGAUGAGCCUAGGUCGGAUUAGCUAGUUGGUGGGGUAAUGGCUCACCAAGGCGACGAUCCGUAACUGGUCUGAGAGGAUGAUCAGUCACACUGGAACUGAGGCACGGUCCAGACUCCUACGGGAGGCAGCAGUGGGGAAUAUUGGACAAUGGGCGAAAGCCUGAUCCAGCCAUGCCGCGUGUGUGAAGAAGGUCUUCGGAUUGUAAAGCACUUUAAGUUGGGAGGAAGGGUUGUAGAUUAAUACUCUGCAAUUUUGACGUUACCGACAGAAUAAGCACCGGCUAACUCUGUGCCAGCAGCCGCGGUAAUACAGAGGGUGCAAGCGUUAAUCGGAAUUACUGGGCGUAAAGCGCGCGUAGGUGGUUUGUUAAGUUGGAUGUGAAAUCCCCGGGCUCAACCUGGGAACUGCAUUCAAAACUGACUGACUAGAGUAUGGUAGAGGGUGGUGGAAUUUCCUGUGUAGCGGUGAAAUGCGUAGAUAUAGGAAGGAACACCAGUGGCGAAGG
rnacentral:rRNA from 1 species